UUACUGGCGAAACAAAUGUCACGCUUUCACAUCUAUGCUGCAUCCUGAUCCCUUCUUCGGUAUUCUCUACUUUGUUAGUCUGUGUUUCAUGCAAUAGUUCCUUGUAGGUGUUGGAAACCUCAGCAGAUUGAUGAGAAGAGCUUGCUGUGUUUUUUCUGGACCCUCCCAUCAGAGGACAGAGAAGAAAAGAAGACGACAAACCUUUACAUCUCAUUAGGAAACAAUUACUUCCACCAUCCCCUCUCUGAUGUCCUCCAAAAUAAAAGGCCAAGUUUUAUUCAAGGUUACAUACCUGCAACUACUUUUGAAAUUUAUGAGUUACUAAAAUUACCGAUGGUAGAGUCAUUACAAAAACAAAUUGCACAAAUUAAGAUCCCUCAUAGCCCUAGAAUUCUAGAGUUAUGGGGUUACUUUCCAUGAGACUUUACACUUUCACCAGCUGUCAAGGUCAAUUUGCCAAUAUAAAAGACAGUGGAAAUCUGCUAUGCAUGUCAGUCCUGAAAAAUUGUAAGGCCACUGACAGAAGCAAGGGGUGGGAAACUAUACAGAAAAUUUCCCUUAUGUGGACAAUGUUUCUGGAAGGUGAGGUGGCUUUACUAGCACUACCUACAAAACCAAAGGCAGACAAACUCCACUACUGCUCAGGACUACGUUUGUGUCUACAGUCACACAUUUCUUGCAGUAGAAGCUCCUCAGCCUGGUCCAGAGACUCCUGUAGACUUUCUGAUGCAGCCAGAAUAGUUGUUGAUAAUACUUUC